AGUGAAUGUUAGUGAAAAGUAGUUUUGCCGGGUUUAUAUUUCGUUGGGGAGAUGUAGAUAUAAUAUGUAACUGUCUAUAUAAUUUUAUAAUUAUAAUUAGUAUUUGAUCCUUCUUUGGGGAUUAGGAGAAUAAGUUACUUUAGGGAUAACAGCGUGAUUUUCUUUCAGAGUUCUUAUCGACAAGAGUAGUUGCGACCUCGAUGUUGAAUUAAAAUUUCAGCUAGGUGUAGCCGUUUAGCUGGUGG
rnacentral:rRNA from 1 species